AUUGAACGCUGGCGGCAGGCUUAACACAUGCAAGUCGAGCGGGGUGAUGGUGCUUGCACUAUCACUUAGCGGCGGACGGGUGAGUAAUGCUUAGGAAUCUGCCUAUUAGUGGGGGACAACAUCUCGAAAGGGAUGCUAAUACCGCAUACGUCCUACGGGAGAAAGCAGGGGAUCACUUGUGACCUUGCGCUAAUAGAUGAGCUUAAGUCGGAUUAGCUAGUUGGUGGGGUAAAGGCCUACCAAGGCGACGAUCUGUAGCGGGUCUGAGAGGAUAGUCCGCCACACUGGGACUGCGACACGGCCCAGAAUCCUACGGGAGGCAGCAGUGGUGAAUAUUGGACAAUGGGGGGAACCCUGAUCCAGCCAUGCUGCGUGUGUGAAGAAGGCCUUAUGGUUGUAAAGCACUUUAAGCGAGGAGGAGGCUCUUUUGGUUAAUACCCAAGAUGAGUGGACGUUACUCGCAGAAUAAGCACCGGCUAACUCUGUGCCAGCCGCCGCAGUAA
rnacentral:rRNA from 1 species